CACAAAUCUCACUCUAACUCCCCCGAUACCCACACACUCUCAGACACACAAACACACACUCGAACACACAAACUGAGAAGAACACGACGGAGGAGGAUAUGAGAUUUAAAGCUUGGUGGAGAUAACACGCAGCUCGGAGAAGUUUAAAGCUCGAAAGGUUCGUUUUUCCCCAAAUUUUCUUCUGUAAAAAUGUUCAUUUUUUGUAGAUGGGUGUUCGAUUAGUGCUAGAUGGGUGUCAAUUCAUGCUUCUUUAUUUAUGUUUUCACUCAAUUGAGUGUUAAUUAGGGUUUAAUUGACUGUCAGUUAUUGAUUCUUGCAUUUCAUUUUACAUGUAUAUGGUAAUUAGGGUUUAUUCGGGUAUUUUCAAAUUUUUGUACUCUUGGUGGUUCUUUCUUAUUCUAAUAAUGAUGAAUGCUAUCAUUGAAACAAUAUGUAAUUUGUGCUAUAUGGAUUACGAGAAUUUCUCCCGGUAUGGUGACAUCAAACAAGCUCAUAAUAUAAUGAUGAUAGAGGUCAAGAUUGACAAACUUGAUUUUCCUAUGCUAUAUCCAUCAAGAUUGGACACCUUGGUCAACCAGAGAUGAUUUUAGGUUAUUUUCCGGUGAUCUUGGAAAUGAGAUGAAUGAUGAUGUUCUCUCAAAAGCAUUCUCACGAUUUCCUUCUUUUAAUAUGGCUAGGGCAAAAUUAUGGAUGACAAGAGCUGCUUGAGUUCGAUCUUUAGUUUGGAAAGUUAGUGAGAAACGACCUGGUUACAAUGCAAGUGAAUCUGAUUCAGAUGAUAUGUUAGAUGGCUGCAAUGGGAAUGGAAGAGACAAAAUCUGCAGAAGUACUACCAAAGUUAAGAGAUGAGUUAGCUUCUCAAACGGAGGACAAAAUGAAGAAGAAGUUGGAGCACUUUAGCCUUAUUUUGCUUGAAAUUUUGUGUUUCUAUUAGACUUGGUUAUGUUCUUAUGUAAAACAACAGUAAUAAGACUAUAAUACUACUUGUCGAUUUUUUGGAUUGGUGA